rnacentral:rRNA from 1 species
GACGAACCGUGCGAACGUUAUUCGGAAUCACUGGGCUUAAAGCGCGUGUAGGCGGGCCGGCACGUCGGUGCCUGAAAGCCCCCGGCUCAACCGGGGAAGGGGGGCCGAUACGACCGGCCUGGAGGGACGUAGGGGGACCUGGAACUUCCGGUGGAGCGGUGAAAUGCGUUGAGAUCGGAAGGAACGCCCGUGGCGAAAGCGGGGUCCUGGACGUCUGCUGACGCUGAGACGCGAAAGCCAGGGGAGCGAACGGG